GUGUUCUCUUUGGCAGCAUAUAAACUAAAAUUUGAACGAUACAGAGAAGAUUAGCAUGGCACCUGCACAAG
rnacentral:snRNA from 1 species